GCGCGAAACCUCCACACUGCAUGAAAAUGCGAUGGGGGGAUCCUACGUGCUCAUGUUCUACAUGGGCUUUUGCCAAGACCAGAAGCCUUGGCGAAUAAGGGGUGGGCAAGACCGGUGCCAGCCGCCGCGGUAACACCGGCGCCCCGAGUGGCACUCGCGAUUAUUGGGCCUAAAGCGUCCGUAGCCGGACGGGUAAAUCCGCUGUGAAAUUGUGCCGCUUAACGGUACGGCGCGCAGCGGACACUGCCAGUCUCGGGACCGGGAGGGGUCAGAGGUAUGCCGUGGGGACCGGUAAAAUGGGAUAAUCCACGGUAGACCACCAAUGGCGAAGGCAUCUGACCAGAACGGAUCCGACGGUGAGGGACGAAAGCCAGGGGAGCGAACCGG
rnacentral:rRNA from 1 species